GAGUGUCGGUGAUGAUUUCCCACCGUUUGGUAUUCGAGUUUAACGACCAUGAGAAUACCUGACAUGCACUACCAUCUGAGACCUA